rnacentral:rRNA from 1 species
AUGAAGAGAAUACCGAGAUACAUUCGGGGAAGCACUGGAGUAGGACUAAGUAUAUGCAGGUCUCCAUCAACUACAGUAAGUGCCUUCUCUGAUGCAGAUUGGGCGGGAUGUCUAGAUGAUAGAAAGUCCACAGGGGGCUUUGCAAUGUUUCUUGGCUCCAACCUUGUGUCAUGGCAAGCAAAGAAACAAGCAACUGUCUCAAGAUCAAGUACUGAGGGAGAAUACAAGUCACUAGCAAAUGCUACUGCUGAGGCAAUGUGGGUGAAAACACUACUUGAUGAGUUGGGUGUCUAUAGACCACAUGUGUCACGCCUAUAUGGUGUGAUAAUCUAG